rnacentral:rRNA from 1 species
UUGAUGGAGAGUUUGAUCCUGGCUCAGGACGAACGCUGGCGGCGUGCUUAACACAUGCAAGUCGAGCGGAAAGGCCCCUUCGGGGGUACUCGAGCGGCGAACGG